rnacentral:rRNA from 1 species
GACGAAGGAUGCAAGCGUUAUCCGGAUUCAUUGGGUUUAAAGGGUGCGUAGGCGGUCUUGUAAGUCAGUGGUGAAAUCUCGAGGCUUAACCUCGAAAUUGCCAUUGAUACUGCAGGACUUGAGUACAGUUGCCGUUGGCGGAAUAUGACAUGUAGUGGUGAAAUACAUAGAGAUGUCAUAGAACACCGAUUGCGAAGGCAGCUAACGAAACUGUAACUGACGCUGAGGCUCGAAAGUGUGGGGAUCAAACAGG